AGCAGCCGCGGUAAUUCCAGCUCCAAUAGCGUAUAUUAAAGUUGUUGCAGUUAAAAAGCUCGUAGUUGAAUUUCGGGAUCAGUACGCUGGUCGUGCCUUUGGUAUGUACUGGUGUCACUGAUUCCUCCCUUCUGAAGAACCGUUAUGCCAUUUAUUUGGUGUGGCGGGGAAUCAGGACUGUUACUUUGAAAAAAUUAGAGUGUUUAAAGCAAGCUAACGCUUGAAUACAUUAGCAUGGAAUAAUGAAAUAGGACGUUCGAUCCUAUUUUGUUGGUUUCUAGGAUUGACGUAAUGAUUAAUAGGGAUAGUCGGGGGCAUUAGUACUCAAUUGUCAGAGGUGAAAUUCUUGGAUUUAUUGAAGACUAACUACUGCGAAAGCAUUUGCCAAGGAUGUUUUCAUUAAUCAAGAACGAAAGUUAGGGGAUCGAAGACGAUCAGAUACCGUCGUAGUCUUAACCAUAAACUAUGCCGACUAGGGAUCGGAUGAUGUUAAUUUUUAAUGUACUCAUUCGGCGCCUUA
rnacentral:rRNA from 1 species